rnacentral:rRNA from 1 species
CAGCCGCCACGGUAAUACGUAGGGUGCAAGCGUUAAUCGGAAUUACUGGGCGUAAAGCGUGCGCAGGCGGUUUUGUAAGACAGAUGUGAAAUCCCCGGGCUCAACCUGGGAACUGCAUUUGUGACUGUAUAGCUAGAGUACGGCAGAGGGGGAUGGAAUUCCGCGUGUAGCAGUGAAAUGCGUAGAUAUGCGGAGGAACACCGAUGGCGAAGGCAAUCCCCUGGGCCUGUACUGACGCUCAUGCACGAAAGCGUGGGGAGCAAACAGGAUUAGAUACCCGUGUAGUCCCUGUCUCUUAUAC